rnacentral:lncRNA from 1 species
GUUUCCUUUGCGCUCCUGAGGGGCUUGAUGAAAACCUUAUACUAUGUCUGCUGGACAGGACACUGGAGCAAGAGAUACUGGAGAUCUCUCUGCAUCCUGGCACCAAACCCAAACCAGUAACUCUGGGACAUUCUUGACUGAGGGUUAACCUCAGAAACCUGGUAAUCCAUAUGAUCCCACAGCUAUGCCUCAUGGCCCAAAGGGCAGGAUUUCAUCUCCACCGUCCUUUUCUUCAACGUGAAGGGCUGUUGACCCUACUCACAGAGGGCUCUGUGUUGAACCAAGGUGCUUCAUGCAACAGUCCCAGCUGAGCUCCCAGCAGAUGCCAGCACCAUUCGCUAUCCAUGUG